rnacentral:rRNA from 1 species
UACGUAGGGGGCUAGCGUUGUCCGGAAUCAUUGGGCGUAAAGAGCGUGUAGGCGGCCCGGUAAGUCCGCUGUAAAAGUCAAAGGCUCAACCUUUGAAUGUCAGUGGAUACUGCCGGGCUAAAGUCCGGAAGAGGCGAGUGGAACUCCUGGUGUAGCGGUGGAAUGCGCAGAUAUCAGGAGGAACACCGGUGGCGAAGGCGGGUCUCUGGGCCGAUACUGACGCUGAGGAGCGAAAGCGUGGGGAGCGAACAGG